GACGAACGCUGGCGGCGUGCUUAACACAUGCAAGUCGAACGAAGUGGCGAACGGGUGAGUAACGCGUAAUCAACCUGCCCUUCAGAGGGGGGCAACAGUUGGAAACGACUGCUAAUACCGCAUACUGAAGGAGGGGCAUGCGGCGGAUUAGGUAGUUGGAGGGGUAACGGCCCACCAAGGCGAUGAUCAGUAGACGGUCUGAGCUGUUGAACGGCUACAGUGGGACUGAUAAACGGCCCAGACUCCUACGGGAGGCAGCAGGGGGGAAUCUGCCGCAAUGGACGAAAGUCUGACGGAGCAACGCCGCGUGAGUGAUGACGGCCUUCGGGUUGUAAAGCUCUGUUAAUCGGGACGCGGUACCGGAAUAGAAAGCCACGGCUAACUACGUGCCAGCCGCCGCGGUAAUAC
rnacentral:rRNA from 1 species